rnacentral:rRNA from 1 species
GACGUAGGGGGCAAGCGUUGUCCGGAAUCAUUGGGCGUAAAGCGCUCGUAGGUGGAUCGGUAAGUCUGCAAAGAAAGACCCCGGGCUCAACUCGGGGAACGGUGUGGAUACUACCGAUCUUGAGGCAAUCAGAGGAUGAUGGAAUUCCCGGUGUAGCGGUGAAAUGCGUAGAGAUCGGGAGGAACACCAGUGGCGAAGGCGGCUACCUGGACCAGCACUGACACUGAGGCACGAAAGCGUGGGGAGCAAACAGG